GGGCGAAUAGCUCAGCGGCAGAGCACUCGCCUUACAAGCGAGGGGUCCCAGGUUCGAUUCCUGGUUCGCCCACCG
rnacentral:tRNA from 1 species